UUUAAAGCGGCACUGUCAUGCCGAACUUACCUUUCCUCAAUCUCUUCCUCUUCUCCCCCUCUCUCAGGAUCUGUUCUUUUCUUCCUGUCUUCUUUAGUUUUCUUUAAAAUCAUAAGACAAAGUAGGGACUCUUUGCCUUAUGGAGGAUUCCUCCGCUUGACCAGCUCUGACCAGCGGAGGAGCAAAGUGUGCUUCAUUUCCGCUGGUCAGAGCAAUUUUCCCAUGAUCCCUAGCUUUCCUCUGUGUUCCCACGAUGCUUCCUGUC